rnacentral:rRNA from 1 species
UACGAAGGGGGCUAGCGUUGCUCGGAAUCACUGGGCGUAAAGCGCACGUAGGCGGCUUUUUAAGUCAGGGGUGAAAUCCUGGAGCUCAACUCCAGAACUGCCUUUGAUACUGGAGAGCUUGAGUCCGGAAGAGGUGAGUGGAACUCCGAGUGUAGAGGUGAAAUUCGUAGAUAUUCGGAAGAACACCAGUGGCGAAGGCGGCUCACUGGUCCGGUACUGACGCUGAGGUGCGAAAGCGUGGGGAGCAAACAGG